GAUGAAGAACGCAGCGAAAUGCGAUAAGUAGUGUGAAUUGCAGAAUUCAGUGAAUCAUCGAAUCUUUGAACGCACAUUGCGCCCCUUGGUAUUCCAUGGGGCAUGCCUGUUCGAGCGUCAUUUGUACCUUCAAGCUCUGCUUGGUGUUGGGUGUUUGUCUCGCCUCUGCGCGUAGACUCGCCUCAAAACAAUUGGCAGCCGGCGUAUUGAUUUCGGAGCGCAGUACAUCUCGCGCUUUGCACUCAUAACGACGACGUCCAAAAGUACAUUUUUACACUCUUGACCUCGGAUCAGGUAGGGAUACCCGCUGAACUUAAGCAUAUCGAUAAGCGGAGGA
rnacentral:misc_RNA from 1 species